AGGGGAGCGUUCUACCUUAGAUAGAAGCAUUAGCGAAAGCGGAUGUGGACGAAGUAGAAGUGAGAAUGUCGGCUUGAGUAGCGAAAACAUUGGUGAGAAUCCAAUGCCCCGAAAACCUAAGGUUUCCUCCGGAAGGCUCGUCCGCGGAGGGUGAGUCAGGACCUAAGGUGAGGCCGAAAGGCGUAGCCGAUGGACAACGGGUUAAUAUUCCCGUACCAUCUAUUAUUGAUACCGAGGGACGGAGAAGGCUAAACCAUCCGGAUGUUGGUUACCGGUUUAAGCGUUAAAGGUGUUGAGAGACGGUGAAAACGUCUUGAGCUAAGGCGCGAAUACGAAGUACUAAGGUACUGAAGUGGUUGAUGUCAUACUUCCAAGAAAAGCUCGAAAUAUCAUAAAUAAUAGAUGCCUGUACCCGAAACCGACACAGGUAGGUAGGUAGAGUAUACCAAGGGGCGCGAGAUAACUCUCUCUAAGGAACUCGGCAAAAUUACCUCGUAACUUCGGAAGAAGAGGUACCCUUGCAAAAGGGUUGCAAUAAAUAGGCCCUGGCGACUGUUUACCAAAAACACAGGUCUCCGCUAAUUCGUAAGAUUAAGUAUGGGGGCUGACGCCUGCCCAGUGCCGGAAGGUUAAGGAAGUUGGUUAGUCUUUGACGAAGCUGGCGACCGAAGCCCCGGUGAACGGCGGCCGUAACUAUAACGGUCCUAAGGUAGCGAAAUUCCUUGUCGGGUAAGUUCCGACCCGCACGAAAGGCGUAACGAUCAGGGUGCUGUCUCGGAGAGAGGCUCGGCGAAAUAGACAUGUCUGUGAAGAUGCGGACUACCUGCACCUGGACAGAAAGACCCUAUGAAGCUUUACUGUAUCUUGGAAUUGGGUUUGGGCUUUGCUUGCGCAGGAUAGGUGGGAGGCUUUGAAGAUGUUCUUGCGGGAACAUUGGAGCCAAUGGUGAGAUACCACUCUAGUAAGGCUAAAAUUCUAACUUCGAACCGUUAUCCGGUCGAGGAACAGUUUCAGGUGGGCAGUUUGACUGGGGCGGUCGCCUCCUAAAAGGUAACGGAGGCGUGCAAAGGUUCCCUCAGGCUGGUCGGACAUCAGUCGUAGAGUGUAAAGGCAUAAGGGAGCUUGACUGCGAGACCUACAAGUCGAGCAGAGACGAAAGUCGGCCUUAGUGAUCCGACGGUUCCGAGUGGAAGGGCCGUCGCUCAACGGAUAAAAGUUACUCUAGGGAUAACAGGCUGAUCUCCCCCAAGAGUUCACAUCGACGGGGAGGUUUGGCACCUCGAUGUCGGCUCAUCGCAUCCUGGGGCGGUAGUACGUCCCAAGGGUUGGGCUGUUCGCCCAUGAAAGCGGUACGCGAGCUGGGUUCAGAACGUCGUGAGACAGUUCGGUCCAUAUCCGGUGCAGGCGUUAGAGUAUUGAGAGGAGUUCCCCUUAGUACGAGAGGACCGGGGGAAAUACACCGCUGGUGUACCAGUUAUCGUGCCAACGGUAAACGCUGGGUAGCCAAGUGUAGAGUGGAUAACUGCUGAAAGCAUCUAAGUAGGAAGCCCACCUCAAGAUGAGUACUCUCACCGCUAUAAGCGGGUAAGAUCACGGCAAGAACAGCCGUUAUAUAGGCACCAAGUAUAAGUACAGCAAUGUAUUCAGCUGAGGUGUACUAACAGAUCGA
rnacentral:rRNA from 11 species